GUGGGGAAUUUUGGACAAUGGGGGCAACCCUGAUCCAGCAAUGCCGCGUGCAGGAAGAAGGCCUUCGGGUUGUAAACUGCUUUUGUACGGAACGAAACGGUCCUGGUUAAUACCUGGGGCUAAUGACGGUACCGUAAGAAUAAGCACCGGCUAACUACGUGCCAGCAGCCGCGGUAAUACGUAGGGUGCAAGCGUUAAUCGGAAUUACUGGGCGUAAAGCGUGCGCAGGCGGUUUUGUAAGACAGGCGUGAAAUCCCGGGGCUCAACCUGGGAAUGGCGCUUGUGACUGCAAGGCUGGAGUGCGGCAGAGGGGGAUGGAAUUCCGCGUGUAGCAGUGAAAUGCGUAGAUAUGCGGAGGAACACCGAUGGCGAAGGCAAUCCCCUGGGCCUGCACUGACGCUCAUGCACGAAAGCGUGGGGAGCAAACAGGAUUAGAAACCCUGGUAGUCC
rnacentral:rRNA from 1 species